CCCGCUGAGUUUAAGCAUAUAAAUAAGCGGAGGAGAAGAAACUUACGAGGAUUCCCCUAGUAAUGGCGAGCGAACCAGGAGAUGCCUAGCUUGAGAAUCGGGCGGCCGCUACGACCGAAUUGUAGUCUGGAGAGGCAUCCUCAGUGACGGAUCGGGCCCAAGUCCCCUGGAAAGGGGCGCCUGGGAGGGUGAGAGCCCCAUCCGGCCCGGACCCUCUCGCCCCACGAGGCACCGUCAACGAGUCGGGUUAUUUGGGAAUGCAGCCCAAAUUGGGCGGUAAACUCCGUCCAAGGCUAAAUACAGGCGAGAGACCGAUAGCGAACAAGUACCGCGAGGGAAAUAUGAAAAGGACUUUGAAAAGAGAGUCAGAGAGUGCUUGAAAUUGCUGGGAGGGAAGCGGAUGGGGGCUGGCGAUGUGCCCCGGUUGUAUGCGGAAUGGCUCCGGCUGGUCCGCCAAUCGGCUCGGGGCGUGGACCGUUGUCGGCCGCCGGUUGUAUGCAAAAAUGAAGAGGUUUCAGAGGGCUCUUAGGGUUUCCAUUUGGCUUGUCCUAUGG
rnacentral:ncRNA from 1 species